CCAAAACUUUUUUUAAUGGGUGCGUGCAUUUGUGUUGUCCGGUGUUUGAAGACGCUUUGAAUUCGCUUUCAAUUUCUUCGUAGGAAAAAUGUCGGGUGAUACCGAUAAAGCGAAAAUCAAUGACAAUCAGGAUGAAGACAAGAAGUCCACAGCCGGCGACGGGCAUACAACAGAAGACGAGUCUUCUCAAGACUCCAAGGGUGAGUCGGACUCCAAGGGUGAAUCGGUCCCCGACCAGGCCGCAGGUAACACCGAUGUAGAUCAACCAAGCGACGCGCCCAAUAAAGAUACUAUUGAAGGCGACGCCAAAAGCACAACGGCCAAUGGGAAGGAGGAUGACGCGGGCGGAGAUGACUCCAAAGACGAGAAGAGAGACGCGAAAGCAGAGGGCGAUGUAAAAAAGGAAGAGAAUGGUGAAACACACGAUGACGAUGAAAAGGAUGACGUGAAAGAAAACAAGAGCACUAAAAAACCGCCACCCAAGAAGAAGGCUAAGAAAGAGGAUACAGAAGAAGAAGACGAGGAUGAGGAGGACGAGGAGGAGGAGGACGAGGAGGGAGAGGAGGGCGACGAGGAGGGAGACGAGGACGAGAAGAAGCCCAAAGAAAAGGUAAAGAAACCAGCAAAGAAAGCCAAAGAUGGCGACGAUGAGGGCGACGAGGAGGAAGGCGACGAAGAGGGAGAGGAGGAGGAAGAAGAGGAGGAGGAGGAAGAGGAGGCGCCCAAACCUAAGCCCAAGAAAGAGCCCACGGAACCGCCCGUGCCGCUGCCGGCGGGCAAGGGCAUCCCGCUCGGCCACAUCAGCAACGUCGAGAUCUCACUGUCGCGCUUCAAGACCCAGGAUCAGAAGAUUCUGCACCAGUUCCUAUACGGGCAACUAUGCCUCGACCGCAACGUGAAGCGUAAUAUCAAGAAGUUCCGUGGCUACGAGUGGGCGAUAGGGUCCGCCGAGUACAAGGCCAAGCUCGAGGAGACUACGAAGAUGGAGCCGAAGCAAGUCCGCACCAUGUGCGAGAUGUUGGACUUGGACAAGAAAGGGUCGCAGGCGGACCUGGCGGCGCGGCUGGUGGGGUUCCUGCAGCAGCCGGUGGCCAACUCCGUGCACGCGCGCGGCGGGGCGCGGCCGCCGCCCGCCGCCGCCGCCGCCGCCGCGCCGGGCGGCCGGCCCCGCCGCUCCGCCGCCGUCAAGGUGCACAACCGAGGCUAUUCCGAUGAGGAGUAUGAGACAGACCCAGAGACGAAGGUCAAGGGUCCCAAACCGGCAAAGGAUGGCUCGGAAGAUUCAGAUGGCUCGUUCAACCCUAGCGGGUCGGAGGAGGCGGACUCGGACUUCGACCCCGAGGGCGGCGAGAGCGCGGGCGGCGCCACGCGCAAGCGCAAGAGCAGCGGCCGGCGCCGCUCCGGCGGCAAGCCCGGCAAGCGCGGCAAGCGGCAGCGCGGCAAGCCCACCAAGGGCAAGAAGGGUCGCGCGGCAAAGAGAGCGCGGUCGGAAAGCGAGGAGGAGAGCGAAAAGUCGGAGAGUGAAAACGAGUCCGAGUCUGGCGGCGGCAGCGACGGAGAGGAAUCCGAUGAGCCAAAAUCCAAGCGCGGCCGACCUGCGGCAGCCAAGGGCCGUAAGGGAGUCGUCGCUAAGAACGCCAAGGCGACGCCGGUUAAACGAAAAGCGCCUACGCCACCAGCCAAGAAGAAGCCAGCGGGCAAGGCGGCGGGUCGACCGGCCAAGAAGCCAAACAAGAAGGCCGCGUCAUCCGAAGAGGAGUCCGGGGAGGGAAGUGAGGAGGAGGAGGAGGGUAGCGAGGAGGAGAGCGCGGGAGACAGCGACGCGCCCGCCGACAAGAAGAAGCGCCCGCCCACGGACGACGAGAUCAAGAAGUACGUGAAGCAGAUCCUGGAGGGCGCCAACCUCGAGCAGAUCACGAUGAAGACCGUGUGCAAGCAGGUGUACAGCCACUACCCCGACUUCGAUCUGGCGCACAAGAAGGACUUCAUCAAGGCCACAGUCAAGUCGUGUAUUUAAGAUGUUAGGAGUUAAGGCGGAGUGUAGAUGUCUUCAUAGUAUACCUAUAGUUUAUAAAAGGACAUAUUAUAUAUUAUUACAAUAAUAAUAUAUUAUGAGAAAUAAAUAAUAUCCGAGGCAGUGGAACACCCGCUUUAUAAAAGCUCAUCUCUUCGUGAGCAGUGAGUACUCGGCCGCAAACACAUUCAUAGAAGUAAGGUACACCACUUAAACCUAGACUAAUGCCGCGCCGCGGCCCCGUCCGCACUCUUACCGGGGCUAUUCUAACAUUCAUACAAUUACUGUCUCCUGAACCUCUCACUUGCGCCCCGCGAGCCUCCCUGGCUAUUUUGUAUGUAAUAUUGUCAAACGACAAUGUCUGAUAAAGUCACACAUAUUAACAAAGUGCGGCCCGCGUCAACUUCGUUAAUUACUAUGUGGCCCUUGGCUGCUAAAAGGUUGCCGACCGCUGGGUUAAAUCAUAUACACCUUUCCUAUACAUGCUCAAUCACAUUAGUGCUAAAGUGUGCUUAUAAAUGGGUCCUUUACCUUGACGAAAACUGGUUUUCAAUUUGACCCCAGAGAAGUCAUCAGUUUUCCUUGCUGGCCAGGAUAUUUUUUAUUUUAUUAUUUUGGGCUCUUUUUGAGCCAUGACAUUUUUUGAGGCAAACGUUAAGAUAAUUCUAUGUCAAUCAAUUUGCUUAUCUACUGUAUUGUAGGUAGAUAAAAUGGACGAACUAUAAAAUGUGAAUGAAGUAUACAUGCCUAAAACAAUGAAGAUUGUUUUUUCUAUAUUUAAAUCAGGCCAUAUUAGUUCGUCGAUUGGUCGAAUACCCCUCGCUCGGCCGGGCAGCGUCGCGGCGCGGGCCUAUGUAAUUUUAUGUUCUAGGAAUAAUUUCCACUAGAAAUAAGUAUAACGAAAUAAGCAGCUCUUAAGUUUUUACAUCUUGUUUUCACUGACUUGUAAUUAUUAUUGUGGUGUUUCGUUUACGCCGUUCGCUGUUUUGUUGAUUAUUAUAAGUGAAACUGCCUGUCGGCGUUAAGUUCUACAAAAAUAGAUAUCCAGUACUUUUUUAACCACAUCCAGAAGAAAAAUAGCAUUUUGGGACCAUUUUAAGUUAUGACCUUAACGCGCGAGAUAUCUAAGUCACUCAUUUAAGUACUGUUUAUUUUUAACAUCGCAAACAUUGUACAAAGUUCAGAUAUCCCAAUGUGUCUUUAAGUUAAAAGUUGUUAUUGGUUUUUAUGAAAAAAAAAAAUGUCUCGGAACGUAAGUUUAUUUUUUUAAUACGAACGUAGAUUUAAUGUCGAAAUUUCUCGCAGUCUCACACUAUCGCAAAAGUAAAACUAUUUCGGCUAAGAAUUGAUUUAAGUGUACUUUUAAAAUGUGUAAAUAUACACAAUGGUUUGGGACGUGUGAUUAAAUAUAUUAUGUAAUCUGAAUGUAGUAAUGUCAUAUCUAAGAACUUGCUAUAUUGGAUUGAAGUCUCAAAUAUUUUGGCCUUGACUUUACCUGAAAUCCUACGGUCUAGACUCUAGACGGAAAUUAUAGCAAUACAUAAGAUAUCUAAGAAUGAGUUUAUGCUUUCGAGUCCCGUCGCCGUCUCCGUGUAUUUACACCGUGAAUAUAACACUGACAUAACUAAUCUCUGUUCACUAUGGAAAAUAGUGUUGACAUGCAUUUUGAAAUCGAACGCGGUAUGAUUUAUUUAAGUUUGUCAAAUAAUUAGUACAAUAAUGUUAUAAGUAGAAACUUGUAAAAUGAACGUUUUUUACCGGGGACUCGGCGCAGCAUUAAUAAAUGUACAAUAUGGUCCUCAGUUUAUAAAGUUGCGAGCGCCCUUCAAUGUCGUACCAGGCAUGGCUCACUCCGCGAUUUCGUCGCUUUGCUACAGGUAGCUAAACGUACAUCCGUUCCACACCAACUUUGGUGGCUAGCCAUAAGCCGCGCGUGGCGCUGUCGCCACCUAGCGGCCAUACCUGUCCUGAUCGUAACAGACGCGUUUUGUUAGAGAGUGAGUCUUCUGUACCUAGUACUAUUAUUUAUUCUGUGGUCGUACACAGACAUGAAGUUUUGUAAAGUGAGGACUAGUUUGAGCGUUGUCGUCGCGUCCCCGGCGUUCGCUGGAUGUUAUGUAAUCGCCUACAAGUACCACGGUGUACUGCAGUCUCGCUUCGUGUUAUGUUGGGUGCUCCAGCAGUAGAUGUGUGUGGCCGACGUCGCUCCGCGGGUGUAGCAGGUGCGGACGCUCCGGGACGCCUAUAUCGCGAUAUAUAGGGUCUCAUAUCUGUCUAUUUAGCAUGAGUCGCGUUCUCGCACGCGAUUCAAUACAUCUAGCGCGACUUCAAGUAUGGACUCGCGAGAACGCAACUUAUGCUAGAUCGCCAGGUAUCCUCUAUAUCACGAUGUAUUUGGAUCCCGCAUCUAGAUUGAUCCCAAUUCUGUUAUUUUCUCUGCCUCCCGGCGCGCUCGCACCUUUAUAAUUAAGCUAGUUCUCGACAUUAAAUGUGUAACUGUGAAUUUUUAACCUUAUUUGGUUGACGUUUUUUUUGUGUAAAUGGCUGAUCUGUAGCGCAGUAGUGGCACGGUGUGAGCGAGCGACUGGUUCCCUUUUACAAUUGGAUUAUAGAUAAUAAAGUAAAUAAAAAGUUUGA